rnacentral:rRNA from 1 species
UACGGGGGGGCAAGCGUUGUUCGGAAUUACUGGGCGUAAAGGGCGUGUAGGCGGCCAACUAAGUCCGACGUGAAAUCCCCAGGCUUAACCUGGGAACUGCGUCGGAUACUGGAUGGCUUGAAUCCGGGAGAGGGAUGCGGAAUUCCAGGUGUAGCGGUGAAAUGCGCAGAUAUCGGGAGGAACACCAGUGGCGAAGGCGGUGCUCUGGGCCGGAACUGACGCUGAGGAGCGAAAGCGUGGGUAGCAAACAGG